rnacentral:rRNA from 1 species
UACGGAGGGUGCGAGCGUUGUCCGGAAUCACUGGGCGUAAAGGGCGCGUAGGCGGUUUGCAUAGUCAGACGUGAAAUUCCUGGGCUUAACCUGGGGGCUGCGUUUGAUACAUGCAGGCUUGAGUUCGGAAGAGGGUCGUGGAAUUCCCAGUGUAGAGGUGAAAUUCGUAGAUAUUGGGAAGAACACCAGUGGCGAAGGCGGCUCUCUGGACCGUAACUGACGCUGAGGCGCGAAAGCGUGGGGAGCAAACAGG